rnacentral:misc_RNA from 1 species
UGUUAUGGAUUCUGUAAAAAAUUGGUAAAAGAGUAGAAUCAUCAUUUCUUUUGUACAAAUACCAUUGCUUUUAUUCCAACAAGCCUUUAGGCAUGAAGAAAUCUCCUAUAAGUGUAUUAUUAUGCACAACAAACAUGGCCAAAAAUACAACUCAAAAUCAUUUAUCGCACAUUACAUUGACUACUGGCAGUUACUUAUCUUCAGCAGUGAAAUCUGGCUCUGUUGGUUUCUGAAGCAGAAUGGGUGAUAUCCUGUCUGGCACUCUUGCUUUAUUUGCUUUAUUUCGUCGCAGAGCGCGAAGUGCAUUAGCAGCAAAUCUUGAUGCAUAGAUGGUAGCACCAAAACUUGGUGAACUGGAACCUUCCUUUGCUAAUGCAUCUUGCAAUCUGCUUUCUUCUACACGAAGAGACUCUUCUACCUUCUUCCUGCAAUAAUUGCGCCAUGCUGCUUGUAAAAAGCAAGCUGCCCAAGUUCUCCAAUGACCUGAAUAAAACCUGAAAGUAUGGCGGAGCUGCUUACUGUGAAGUCUUCGAAACUGAGAGGCCACAAACUUUAAAUCAUCAGCCACUAAAGCAAAUGCUUCAACUUCUGAGAGUGCUUGUGCAGUUCGGGUUGAGGUAGGUAAGUUAGUUGAUGAAUGAGGGUCAAGAGCCCAAGUAAGUAGCUCCUCUCCACAAAAAUCACCAGCUUUUAGAUACUCUGAGUUGAAAAAACCUGUCCUCCCUCCAUUAGUGGUUACAGACUGUAGUUUGCCCCUCAUUACAAACAGCAUCUCAUUAACUGGGUCACCUUCACGAACGAUGUAGCUGUUCUCGGUGUAGAGAACUGGCUUGAGUCGGUCACAUAGUGCAUCCAAGAGUUGUUCAUCCAUUUUUUCAAACAUUGGCACUCUCAUGAGUAAAGCUAAACAAAGAUGGCGCUUUAUAUCUCUUCUGAGAUCUUUGGGAAGGUUGUGAAUCAGAUUUUCUUCCUCAACACCCCUUGUUUCUUGCCACUUAUAUUGCUCAUAGCGCCUAAUUCGCUCUCUGAGGUUCUCAGGGAGUAACCGAUGUGACAUCCACUGUUCUGCAUCUCGCCUUUUCACCCUCAUCUCCUCUAGUCUCAUUGUUGAGGACUGCAGACAUGUCUAUCACAAACA